AGAGUUUGAUUAUGGCUCAGGAUGAACGCUAGCUACAGGCUUAACACAUGCAAGUCGAGGGGUAGCAGGGUAGCAAUACCGCUGACGACCGGCGCACGGGUGAGUAACACGUAUCCAACCUCCCAUAACUCAGGGAUAGCCUUUCGAAAGAAAGAUUAAUACCUGAUAGUACUUUUUCAAGGCAUCUUGAAAAAGUUAAAGAUUUAUGGUUAUGGAUGGGGAUGCGUUCCAUUAGAUAGUUGGUGAGGUAACGCUCACCAAGUCUUCGAUGGAUAGGGGUUCUGAGAGGAAGGUCCCCCACAUUGGUACUGAGACACGGACCAAACUCCUACGGGAGGCAGCAGUGAGGAAUAUUGGUCAAUGGGCGAGAGCCUGAACCAGCCAAGUAGCGUGAAGGAAUGAAGGUCCUAUGGAUUGUAAACUUCUUUUAUAGUAGAAUAAAGUGAUCCACGUGUGGAUUUUUGUAUGUAUACUAUGAAUAAGGAUCGGCUAACUCCGUGCCAGCCGCGGC
rnacentral:rRNA from 1 species